rnacentral:miRNA from 14 species
AGCCGGGCGUGGUGGUGCGCGCCUGUAAUCCCAGUAGCUUGGGAGACUGGG